CUUGGCGAUUGCUUCGUGCUUGGCGGAGGGGUUUGGCCAUAACGAUGGGCUUGUCCGUCGGGCAGGGAGUGAGAGCGGGUGUCGAGUUGAUGCUCGGAUGGGCUUGCGCGGACAAUGCUUGCACCUCGGUGUGGGCGUGCACUCCAA